UUGGAAAAAGAUUUCCAGAAAUUAAAAACUAUGGAUCUGGACUGAUCAAUCAGAAGCUCUACAACUUUGAUGCUCCUCCAGGCUGGAGGCUGCAAAGGGGGUUCCCUGUGGAAACAUUGGUAAACUCCUGUUAUAUACAUCAGAGCAGAGUAAACGCAGUGUUAAAAUGUAUCGAGAUGACUAACUCCCUCCCGAUAUGGGGGGAUUUAGUGGGUGGUUGACGUGUAUUUUUUAGCCUACUGCCACGGAUUUAUUAAACAGGCGCCUCCGCCCUCCAAUCCAUGGUCUGCUCUCCCAGACUGGCACACCCACUCCCGCCGUCACUGUGGGAGAGCCAGUUGGGCCUUCUGGGCUUCCUGGUCCUCAGCUCCGCCUCGCCUCGAUCUGGCCGGACAGGGGAAACACUUCUCAGUUAUAGAACAAAAGCAACAACAGACGGACCCGAUGAGGACGAAGUAACGGCGACUGAAAUCCAGACCUAAACCUCACGGACUGACAGAUCUGUGCCCUCCGCGGCGAGAACUAGUCGACGACUGAACUCAUACGAAGGGCGACAAACUUGGUUGCCUCGCAUCUUUGUAUCCCGACCGUAAUCCGUCGAGGUGCUUGAUAAAUAAGACAAGGGUCAAACAGACACAUCGACUGUAUUGUUUCCUCGAACUUGGGCCAUAAAACCCGGAGUGGCUGAGGGAGAAACUCCGGCUUUAUUUUGGUUUUCUUUUCCGCUCAAACGGACCUCGGCCACAAAAGGCUGUUUUGGCGUUUUGGGUUGCUGUUGUUUCACCUGCCUUUGUGACGAGGCUACGGUUUAUUGUUCAGGACUGAGAACUUGGAAGUGGAACAAAGACCAGCUGGGAAGGGGUGAGAAAGUGGACUAUGAUGGAUUUCUCAUAUAUCCCUGUUCCCCACGCUCCCACCAUUUGCGAUCAGUCUCCCUACUCACACAAAACAAAAGUCAGUCACCACGAGUUGGGGGAGGGGAGACCGGUCUGGAUGGAGCGAAUACGACUAGUUUCACUGGGAGUUCAGAACAGGAGUGCAAAGUAGGGGGGGAGGGGGAAACAGCUGUCAGAUAAUUUACUUUGAGAAUGAAUGAGAACAGAAAGUUCUUUAAAGACUUAAAGUCUGUACUGGUUCACAAAGUUUCCGUCUCCCCACUGUGACAUUAUCUGUAAAGUUAAGAUAGUUUGUUGAGACAAAUAAAAACACAACUACAGUGACCUCUCUUUCUUUUUUUUAGGUGAAAC
rnacentral:lncRNA from 1 species